rnacentral:rRNA from 1 species
UACAGAGGUCUCAAGCGUUGUUCGGAUUCAUUGGGCGUAAAGGGUGUGUAGGUGGCGCCGUAAGUCGGGUGUGAAAUCUCGGGGCUUAACUCCGAAACUGCAUUCGAUACUGCGGUGCUUGAGGACUGGAGAGGAGACUGGAAUUCACGGUGUAGCAGUGAAAUGCGUAGAUAUCGUGAGGAAGACCAGUGGCGAAGGCGGAUCUCUGGACAGUUCCUGACGCUGAGGCGCGAAGGCCAGGGGAGCAAACGGG